CCUACGGGUGGCAGCAGUGAGGAAUAUUGGUCAAUGGACGAGAGUCUGAACCAGCCAAGUAGCGUGAAGGAUGACUGCCCUAUGGGUUGUAAACUUCUUUUAUAUGGGAAUAAAAUGUUCCACGUGUGGGAUUUUGUAUGUACCAUAUGAAUAAGGAUCGGCUAACUCCGUGCCAGCAGCCGCGGUAAUACGGAGGAUCCGAGCGUUAUCCGGAUUUAUUGGGUUUAAAGGGAGCGUAGGUGGAUUGUUAAGUCAGUUGUGAAAGUUUGCGGCUCAACCGUAAAAUUGCAGUUGAAACUGGCAGUCUUGAGUACAGUAGAGGUGGGCGGAAUUCGUGGUGUAGCGGUGAAAUGCUUAGAUAUCACGAAGAACUCCGAUUGCGAAGGCAGUUCACUUGACUGCAACUGACACUGAGGCUCGAAAGUGUGGGUAUCAAACAGGAUUAGAUACCCUAGUAGUC
rnacentral:rRNA from 1 species